GGGUCGGUGGCUGAGUCAGGUUAAAAGCGGUGGUCUGUAAAACCAUCCUCUACGGAGUUCGCUGGUUCAAAUCCAGCUCGACCCA
rnacentral:tRNA from 2 species